UACGUAGGGUGCAAGCGUUGUCCGGAAUUAUUGGGCGUAAAGAGCUCGUAGGCGGUUCGUCGCGUCGGCUGUGAAAUCCCGGAGCUCAACUCCGGGUCUGCAGUCGAUACGGGCGGACUUGAGUACUGCAGGGGAGACUGGAAUUCCUGGUGUAGCGGUGAAAUGCGCAGAUAUCAGGAGGAACACCGGUGGCGAAGGCGGGUCUCUGGGCAAUAACUGACGCUGAGGAGCGAAAGCGUGGGGAGCGAACAGG
rnacentral:rRNA from 1 species